UAGGGAAUUUUCGUCAAUGGGGGCAACCCUGAACGAGCAAUGCCGCGUGAGCGAAGAAGGUCUUCGGAUUGUAAAGCUCUGUUGCCGGGGAAAAAGGAAGGAAAGAGGAAAUGCAUUUCUUUGGAUGGUACCCGGCCAGAAAGUCACGGCUAACUACGUGCC
rnacentral:rRNA from 1 species